rnacentral:rRNA from 1 species
AGAGUUUGAUCCUGGCUCAGGAUGAACGCUGGCGGCGUGCCUAACACAUGCAAGUCGAGCGAUCUCUUCGGAGAGAGCGGCGGACGGGUGAGUAACGCGUGGGUAACCUGCCCUGUACACACGGAUAACAUACCGAAAGGUAUACUAAUACGGGAUAAUAUAUGAAAGUCGCAUGGCUUUUGUAUCAAAGCUCCGGCGGUACAGGAUGGACCCGCGUCUGAUUAGCUAGUUGGUAAGGUAAUGGCUUACCAAGGCAACGAUCAGUAGCCGACCUGAGAGGGUGAUCGGCCACACUGGAACUGAGACACGGUCCAGACUCCUACGGGAGGCAGCAGUGGGGAAUAUUGCACAAUGGGCGAAAGCCUGAUGCAGCAACGCCGCGUGAGCGAUGAAGGCCUUCGGGUCGUAAAGCUCUGUCCUCAAGGAAGAUAAUGACGGUACUUGAGGAGGAAGCCCCGGCUAACUACGUGCCAGCAGCCGCGGUAAUACGUAGGGGGCUAGCGUUAUCCGGAAUUACUGGGCAUAAAGGGUGCGUAGGUGGUUUUUUAAGUCAGAAGUGAAAGGCUACGGCUCAACCGUAGUAAGCUUUUGAAACUAGAGAACUUGAGCGCAGGAGAGGAGAGUAGAAUUCCUAGUGUAGCGGUGAAAUGCGUAGAUAUUAGGAGGAAUACCAGUAGCGAAGGCGGCUCUCUGGACUGUAACUGACACUGAGGCACGAAAGCGUGGGGAGCAAACAGGAUUAGAUACCCUGGUAGUCCACGCCGUAAACGAUGAGUACUAGGUGUCGGGGGUUACCCCCCUAGGUGCGGCAGGUGAGGCAUUAAGUACUCCGCUUGGGAAGUACGCUGGCAAGAGUGAAACUCAAAGGAAUUGGCGCGGGACCCGCACAAGUAACCGGAGCAUGGGGUUUAAUUUGAAGCAAUGUGAAGAGCGUUAUCUCAGCUUGACAUGGCAUUGACCUCUCCCUCAUCGGAGAGUUCCGUUCGGGGUCAGUGCAGACAGGUGGUGCAUGGUAGUCGUCAGCUCGUGUGGUGAAGAUGGUGGGUUAAGUCCCGCACCGAGCGCAUACCCUUGCCGUGAGUGGCCAGCAUUAAGUGGGGCAGUCUAGAGGGGUUUCCGGGGAGGAAUGGGGGGAAGGUGGGGAAGGCGUCAAAUCAUCAUGCCCUCUAUGAUUAGGCCCCCCCGCGUGUUCCAAUGGUGGGUACAAAGGGUAGGCAAGCCGGGAGGGGGAGCGGAUCCCUAAAAGCCACUGUCAGCUGGGAUGGUCGGGAGAAACUCGCGUACAUGAAGCGGGAGUUUAUAGUAAUCGCAGAUCAGAACGAGGCGGGGAACGAGUUCCCGGGUCUUGCACACGCCGCCCGUCA